rnacentral:rRNA from 1 species
CAAUAGCGUAUAUUUAAGUUGUUGCAGUUAAAAAGCUCGUAGUCGGAUUUUGGCUGAGAACGAUCGGUCCGCCGUUAGGUGUGCACUGAUUGGUCUCAGCUUCCUGGUGAGGAGGUGUGCUUCACGGCCACUUAGUCACCGUGGUUACUUUGAAAAAAUUAGAGUGUUCAAAGCGGGCUUACGCUUGAAUAUAUUAGCAUGGAAUAACACCAUAGGACUCCCGUCCUAUUUCGUUGGUCUCGGGACGGGAGUAAUGAUUAAGAGGAACAGUUGGGGGCAUUCGUAUUUCAUUGUCAGAGGUGAAAUUCUUGGAUUUAUGAAAGACGAACUUCUGCGAAAGCAUUUGCCAAGGAUGUUUUCAUUAA